rnacentral:ncRNA from 1 species
UAAAGGCAUGGUCCUGACCUUAUUAUCAGCUAUAACCUAACUUACACAUGCAAGUCUCCGCAACCCUGUGAGUAUGCCCUUAAUCCCCUGCCCGGGGACGAGGAGCGGGCAUCAGGCACAAAUUUUUAGCCCAAGACGCCUGGCCUAGCCACACCCCCAAGGAAUUCAGCAGUGAUAGAUAUUGAGCUAUAAGCGAAAGCUUGACUCAGUCAGGGUUAAGAGGGCCGGUAAAACUCGUGCCAGCCACCGCGGUUAGACGAGAGGCCCCAGUUGAUUCUACAACGGCGUAAAGAGUGGUUAAGGAGCGCAUAAUAAUAAAGCCGAACGGCCCUUUGGCUGUCAUACGCUUCUAGGCGCCCGAAGCCCGAUAUACGAAAGUAGCUUUAGUAAAGCCCACCUGACCCCACGAAAGCUGAGGAACAAACUGGGAUUAGAUACCCCACUAUGCUCAGCCGUAAACCUAGAUGUCCACCUACGAUGACAUCCGCCCGGGUACUACGAGCAUUAGCUUGAAACCCAAAGGACCUGACGGUGCCUUAGACCCCCCUAGAGGAGCCUGUUCUAGAACCGAUAACCCUCGUUAAACCUCACCACUUCUAGCCAUCCCAGCCUAUAUACCGCCGUCGUCAGCUUACCCUGUGAAGGCAAUAAAAGUAAGCAAAAUGGGCAUAACCCAAAACGUCAGGUCGAGGUGUAGCGUACGAAGUGGGAAGAAAUGGGCUACAUUUUCUAUUAUAGAAUACUACGGAUAUGCAACAUGAAACUGUGCUUGAAGGAGGAUUUAGUAGUAAAAAGGAAGCAGCGUGUCCUUUUGAACCCGGCUCUUAGGCGCGUACACACCGCCCGUCACUCUCCCCUGUCAAAAUGCGAUAAAGAUACUUAACCCGAACGCGCCGACAAGGGGAGGCAAGUCGUAACAUGGUAAGUGUACCGGAAGUGCACUUGGACUAAAU